rnacentral:rRNA from 1 species
AGAGUUUGAUCCUGGCUCAGGACGAACGCUGGCGGCGUGCUUAACACAUGCAAGUCGAACGAAAAGAGGGAAAGAGCUUGCUCUUUCCGGAAUUGAGUGGCAAACGGGUGAGUAACACGUAAACAACCUGCCUUCAGGAUGGGGACAACAGACGGAAACGACUGCUAAUACCGAAUAAGUUCCAAGAGCCGCAUGGCCCAUGGAAGAAAAGGUGGCCUCUACCUGUAAGCUAUCGCCUGAAGAGGGGUUUGCGUCUGAUUAGCUGGUUGGAGGGGUAACGGCCCACCAAGGCGACGAUCAGUAGCCGGUCUGAGAGGAUGAACGGCCACACUGGAACUGAGACACGGUCCAGACUCCUACGGGAGGCAGCAGUGGGGGAUCUUCCGCAAUGGGCGAAAGCCUGACGGAGCAACGCCGCGUGAGUGAUGACGGCCUUCGGGUUGUAAAACUCUGUGAUCCGGGACGAAAAGGCAGAGUGCGAAGAACAAACUGCAUUGACGGUACCGGAAAAGCAAGCCACGGCUAACUACGUGCCAGCAGCCGCGGUAAUACGUAGGUGGCAAGCGUUGUCCGGAAUUACUGGGUGUAAAGGGAGUGUAGGCGGGAUAUCAAGUCAGAAGUGAAAAUUACGGGCUCAACUCGUAACCUGCUUUUGAAACUGACAUUCUUGAGUGAAGUAGAGGCAAGCGGAAUUCCUAGUGUAGCGGUGAAAUGCGUAGAUAUUAGGAGGAACACCAGUGGCGAAGGCGGCUUGCUGGACGACAACUGACGCUGAGGCGCGAAAGCGUGGGGAGCAAACAGGAUUAGAUACCCUGGUAGUCCACGCUGUAAACGAUGAAUACUAGGUGUGGGAGGACUGACCCCUUCCGUGCCGCAGUUAACACAAUAAGUAUUCCACCUGGGGAGUACGACCGCAAGGUUGAAACUCAAAGGAAUUGACGGGGGCCC